GGGCGGGGCUUUGCGUCACAGACGUGCGACCGAGUCCCCGGCUGAGUCGCCGCCACCCGCAGGUCUGAGCUGUGGGCCGAGGCGGCGCCGCAGCUGCCGCAGGGUGCGCGAUGCCUUGAACCUGGGAAACUAUGUGAAGCAACACUCUUUCUGGAUUUUGAAAGACAUCAUUUCAUCAUGGGACAGCAAAUUUCGGAUCAGACACAGCUGGUUAUUAACAAGUUACCAGAAAAAGUAGCAAAACAUGUUACAUUGGUUCGAGAAAGUGGCUCCUUAACUUAUGAAGAAUUUCUUGGGAGAGUAGCUGAGCUUAAUGAUGUAACUGCUAAAGUGGCUUCUGGCCAGGAAAAACAUCUUCUCUUUGAGGUACAACCUGGGUCUGAUUCCUCUGCUUUUUGGAAGGUGGUUGUACGGGUGGUCUGUACCAAGAUUAACAAAAGCAGUGGCAUUGUGGAGGCAUCACGAAUCAUGAAUUUAUACCAGUUUAUUCAACUUUAUAAAGAUAUCACAAGUCAGGCAGCAGGAGUGUUGGCACAGAGCUCUACCUCUGAAGAACCUGAUGAAAACUCAUCCUCUGUAACAUCUUGUCAGGCUAGUCUUUGGAUGGGAAGCUCAUCAGAUAUUGUUAGUGUUAGUGUAUGUUAUAUGUGGCCCAAGAAAGACAAUUCUUCCAAUGUGGCCCAGGGAAGCCAAAAGAUUGGACACUCCUGUCCUAGGCCUUCACAUCCACGCACCACUACUCACUCACUGACUCACCUAGAGCAACUUCCAGGCCUGCAUGCUCCAUUUAUGGGUGAAGCAGCUGACCGAUGAGGAGGAGUGUUGUAUCUGCAUGGAUGGGCGGGCUGACCUCAUCCUGCCUUGUGCUCACAGCUUUUGUCAGAAGUGUAUUGAUAAAUGAAGGAAUAAAUUCUUGAAUACUGGACCUGAGGAAACUUUAGAGAUCAACUAGUGAAGUUCAUUAUUUUACAAAAUAAGACUUGAGCGUUUAGGAGAAUUUAUAAAAUACAUACAAUAAACUACAUGUGUUUAAUAUACAAUUUACUAUGUUUCAGCAUAUAUACACACCCAUAAAAAUUAUGAAUUUUUAUCAAUGGAAUCAUAUGUGCUUUUUUGUCUGGCUUCUUUCAUUCAAUCUAAUUGUCUUGGUAUUUAUCCAUGUCGUAGCAUGUAUCAAUAGUUCAUGCCUUUUUAUUGGCUGAGUAAUGUCUGAUAUGUGGAUACCAUAGCUUGUUUAUCCAUUCACCUAUUGAGGGAAAUUAGAUUGUUUUCCAUUUUUAGCUAUUACAAAAUCAAGGUACUAGAUACAUUCAUGGACAAGUCAUUUUAUGGAUGUAUUUUGGUUUUUUCCUUGGGUGAAUACCUAGAUGUGGAAUGGCUAGAUCAUAUGGUAGGUGUGUGUUUAACUUUUUAAAAAGCUGCGAGCUAUUUUCCAAAGCAGUCUUGUGCCGUUUUACACCCCCACUAGCAGCAUAUGAGAUUGCAUUGAAUAAAUAUAUCAAUUUAGGGAGAGUGAAUUUGUUACUAAUAGUCUUCCCAGCCACAUACACCGUAUGUUUCUCCAUUUAUUUAGGCCUUAAUUUCUCUCACCAAUUUCUGUAGUUUUCAGUGUUGCAUAUCUUUGACAUCUAUCCCCAAGUAUUUCAUAUUUUUAUGCUAUUUUAAACGGUAUUUAAAAUUUCAGUUUAUGAUUGAUACUAGUGUAUGGAAAUAUAAUAGAUGUUUGUAUAUCAACCUUGUAUCCUGCACCCUUAUUAAAAUCAUGUAUCAGUUCUGGUAGUAUUUUUGUAGAUUCCAUAGGCUCUUCUUGAAUGUCUGAAUAUCAUUUUUCAAAGAUUUUGUUUCUGAUUCAGAAUUCUAGACUUGAGAGUAUUUUUUCUUUCAGUAUGUUAAUAAUGUUGCUUCACACAUAUUUUGCUUCUGAUGAGAACUCUGUCAUCCUUUUUUCCUCUGUAGGUAAUGUGCCAUUUUUUCCCUCUGUUUUUAAGGUUAUUUUCUUUUCAUUGGUUUUGAGCACUUUGAUUAUGAUGUGCCUUAGAGUAGUUUUUUCAUGUUUCUUGUGCUUGGGGUUUAUUGAGCUUCUUGGAUUUGUAGAUUUAUAGUGUCAUCAAAUUUGGAAAUUUUUCGGCCAUUAUUUUUUCAGAUAUUUUUCUUUCUUCUCUCCCCUCUCCUGUGAUUCCAAUUACCAUAUAUUAGCCCACUUGAAGUAGUCCCACAGCUCACUGAUGCUACUUUUUUUCUUUCUUUUUUGAGUCUUUCUCUGGGUUUCAUCUUGGAUAGUUACUAUUGCUAUCUCCUUUCAUAUUCACCAGUCUUUUUUUUUCUUUAGUGUCUAACUUGUCAUUAAUUCUAUCCAGUGUAUUUUUUUAACCUCAGAUAAUUUUCAUUUCUAGAAGUUUGAGUUUUUAUUAUCUUUCAUGUCUCUUCUUAAUAUCUUUGAGCUUUCUUCUAGUUUUUUAACUAUAUAGAAUAUAGCUAUAAUCACUUUCCAUUUUGUCUGCUAAUUCUAGUAUCUGUGUUAGUUCUGGGUGGUUGUGAUUGAUUUUUCUCUUUAUUAUAGGUUAUAUUUUUCUGCUGCUUUUUUGUAUGUCUGGUAAUUCUCAACUGGAUGCCAGACUUUGUGAAUUUUACCUUUUUGGGUAUUGGAUAUUUUUGUAUUCCUAUGAAUAUUCUUGAGCUUAUUUCUGGAAUAUAGUUAAGUGACUUGGAAACAGUUUGAUUCUUUUGGAUCUUGCUUUUGUGAUUUGUUAGGCAGGACCAGAGCAGUAUUUAGUUUAGAACUAAUUAUGUCCCACUAAUAGCAAGACCCUUUAGAGAACUCUACUAAUGCCCCAAGAGUUAUGAGGCUUUCCAGUCUGGCUGGUGAAACAGGCAGUUUCCCAGGCCCAGUGAGCUUUAAGGGACUAUCUCCUCAAAGCCCUUUGAUUGAUCGUUCAGCCUCAGGUAGUGUCCUCACAUGCACACACUGAUCAGCACUCUGCUGAGUAUUCUGGCAGGGACACUUGCGUGGACCUCUGGAAUUUUCCCUCUGUGCAGCUUUCCAUUACCCUGCCCUGUAAACCCUAGCUGUUUGGCCUUCCAAGAUUCUCAGCUCUGUGUGUUCAGCUCAGGAAGUUUGUCAUGUUCCAUCAGGGUUCCCCCUUCUUGAUCAGGGACUAGAAACUCUCGAGGCUGUAAGCUGGGGCAAGUAUAGGUCUCACCUUCUUUGACCCCCAUGUCCCAGGGAUCACUGUCCUUUGUUGUCUGAUGGCCAGUGCUUUAUUUGAAAGAUUAUAUGAAACCAUUGUUUUAGUAAUUUUAGGUGGGAAGAUAAAUCUAGCCUCUUGGUUGGAAGCAGAAGUUGACUAUUUUUAAAUUGUGAUGUUUUGUGCACAGAAGAGCACACAUAUAAUUAUCUUGUAAAAUAUCUCUGAGGAACCAGAAAUCAACCUAAAUAAUAUAUGCCAGCUCUAGCUUUCACAUUUAGUUUUUGGAACAGAGUUCGAAAUUUUUGUGUAAAAGCCAAAGAGCAGUUGAUAUAAAUAAUUACUUUGGUCCCAGAUUUCACUGAGAGAUGAAUAGAAAAACAUUUUUCCCUGCAUGAUAUGUCUCUGGCUCAAAUAUGGUAUUUUUUAAAUUACCAAAAUAAUGUUUGACAAGAAAAAAAUCCUUUUCGAAAACAUAAUCUUAAAAUGAUCAUAUAUGAGUUCUUUCCCUGUCAGAAAAAUUAUUGUGCAUGUAAAGUUUGUCUUUUAUUUUAACUUUGUAUGCUCCAUUUUUAUAUAAGUCUUCCUGUUGCUUAUGAGCCACAGGAAUUUUUUCAGACCUUUAAGCAAGCAACAGGUACACAUAUUGUUGAAAGUCAUGUAGAUGUUAUUUAGAAAAAUAAUUAAUAAUAUUCUUUCCUCUUGUCAUAUUCUCCUGCCACUGCCAAGAAGUUAUUCCUAGAGUAAUGGCUUCCAUUUAAAUAAUCACAAAUAAACAUUUAUACUUCACACUUUGACCAAAUCUUCCAUUGGUAGGAGGGGAUUUCCUCUUAGGACUCACAAGGAAUUUUUAUUAUAAAGGAAAACUUUACCUGUUUAGGUAUGGGGAUGUGAAUUGCUGCAUUGUUGGUAGCAAGAAAAGACAGAAAAAAAAAAAAAAAAACUAAAUGUCCUUC